GAUGAACGCUGGCGGCGUGCCUAAUACAUGCAAGUCGAGCGAACAAACGAGGAGCUUGCUCCUCUGACGUUAGCGGCGGACGGGUGAGUAACACGUGGAUAACCUACCUAUAAGACUGGGAUAACUUCGGGAAACCGGAGCUAAUACCGGAUAAUAUGUUGAACCGCAUGGUUCAAUAGUGAAAGACGGUUUUGCUGUCACUUAUAGAUGGAUCCGCGCCGCAUUAGCUAGUUGGUAAGGUAACGGCUUACCAAGGCAACGAUGCGUAGCCGACCUGAGAGGGUGAUCGGCCACACUGGAACUGAGACACGGUCCAGACUCCUACGGGAGGCAGCAGUAGGGAAUCUUCCGCAAUGGGCGAAAGCCUGACGGAGCAACGCCGCGUGAGUGAUGAAGGUCUUCGGAUCGUAAAACUCUGUUAUUAGGGAAGAACAAAUGUGUAAGUAACUAUGCACGUCUUGACGGUACCUAAUCAGAAAGCCACGGCUAACUACGUG
rnacentral:rRNA from 1 species